rnacentral:rRNA from 1 species
CUCCUGGGAAGUCCUCGUGUUGCACCCCUCUCUUUUUCUUCGCAUUUUUUUUUUCUCGUUGGGCUUAUCGUUUACGUCGGUCCAGCACGUUCGCUUUGUAGGCUUAGCCCGCCCCAGGCCAAAAACACGAGCCGCAGAUCUCGUUUUGGGAGCUAAAGCGUCGCGGCGACGUCGAAAUCGGCGGAAGCCCCUCGGGUUGCGCCUCUCCGGCGUUAAGGUGCACCGUUGCGUUCGGAUCCUUUUAUAAGAAUUAAACGCGCUUAUGCUGAUGGGUGCGAUCAUACCAACACUAAUGCACCGGA